AAGUCGUAACAAGGUUUCCGUAGGUGAACCUGCGGAAGGAUCAUUAAUGAAUAACUUGAUGUGGUUGUAGCUGGCUCUUAGGAGCAUGUGCACGCCCGUCAUCUUAUCUUUCCACCUGUGCACACUAUGUAGAUCUGGAUAACUCUCGCUCUUCGGUGCGGAAACAAGGAUUGCUGCGUCGCAAGGCCGGCUCUCUUUGAAUUUCCAGGUCUAUGUUAUUACAAACUCCAAUUGAAUGAUGAAGAAUGUAGUCAAUGGGCUUCGUGCCUAUAAAACACUAUACAACUUUCAGCAACGGAUCUCUUGGCUCUC
rnacentral:misc_RNA from 1 species